AAGCCUAUGACGAUACGCUAAACAUUGUUGGAAUUACCGGCUGAGGUUAAUAAACCAUCAUUUGAUGUAAAUCAAUAGGCUGGCUAUCUGAGGCUUCUC